AUGAGAACAAUUUCGGAAAGUAAAAGUUAGAUAAAGUCAUUUCACUGAGUUGAAGUUAGAGAAAACAAUAUUGCAAUGUCAAUGUUGGGGGAAAGCUUUUCGUAAAGUUCAAGUUAGAUAAAAUAUUUCACAAAGUUAGAGUUAGAGAAAAUCAUGUCAUAAAGUCAAUGUUAGACAAAAGUAUUUCAAAAAGUCAAGGUUAGAUGAAAUCAUUUCGAAAAGUUGGAGCAAAAGAGAGCUAUUUCGCAGAGUCAAUGUUAAAUAAAACCAAUUUGCAAAGUCAAUGUUAGAGAGAGACAUUUGACAUAGUUGGAGUUAAUGAGAACAAUUUCGGAAAGUAAAAGUAAGAUAAAAUCAUUUCACAUAGUUAAGUUAGAGAAAACAAUUUAGCAAUGCCAAUGUUAGGGGAAAGCUUUUGGUAAAGUUCAAGUUAGAUAAAAAUAUUCCCCAAAGUUAGAGUUAGAGAGAAUCAUGUCAUAAAGUCAAUGUUACAUAAAACCAAUUUGCAAAGUCAAUGUUAAAGAGAAACAUUUGACAUAGUUGGAGUUAAUGUGAACAAUUUCGGAAAGUAAAAGUUAGAUAAAAUCAUUCACCAAGUUGAAGUUAGAGAAAACAAUUUAGUAGUGCAAAUGUUAGGGGAAAGCUUUUCGUAAAGUUCAAGUUAGAUUAAAAUAUUUUCCAAAGUUAGAGUGAGAGAAAAUCAUGUCAUAAAGUCAAUGUUAGACAAAAGUAUUUCGAAAAGUCAAGGUUAGAUGAAAG
rnacentral:lncRNA from 1 species